rnacentral:rRNA from 1 species
GCGAGAAGGGGCUUCGGCUCCUAUAAAGCGGCGGACGGGUGCGUAACACGUGGAUAAUCUGCCCUUCAGUGGGGAAUAACACGCCGAAAGGCGUGCUAAUGCCGCAUGUCACAAUCAAGUUUCCGAACUAGAUUGGAAAAGGGGACGCCCGUAAGGGGUUCUCGCUGGAGGAUGAGUCCGCGGCCCAUCAGCUUGUUGGCGGGGUAAUGGCCCACCAAGGCGAAGACGGGUAGCUGGUCUGAGAGGAUGACCAGC